rnacentral:rRNA from 1 species
GACGAACGCUGGCGGCGUGCCUAACACAUGCAAGUCGAACGGAAAGGCCCUGCUUUUGUGGGGUGCUCGAGUGGCGAACGGGUGAGUAACACGUGAGUAACCUGCGCUUGACUUUGUGAUAACUUCAGGAAACUGGGGCUAAUACCUGAUAGGAGCUCCUGCUGCAUGGUGGGGGUUGGACAGUUUAGGCGGUUGGGGAUGGACUCGCGGCUUAUCAGCUUGUUGGGGGGGUAGUGGCUUACCAAGGCUUCGACGGGUAGCCGGCCUGGGAGGGUGACCGGCCACAUUGGGACUGAGAGAGGGCGCAGACGCCUACGGGAGGCAGCAGUGGGGAAUAUUGCACAAUGGGGCGAAGCCUGUUGCAGCAGCGCCGCGUGCGGGAUGAAGGCCUUCGGGGUGUAAACCGCUUUAGCUUGUUACGAAGCGUGAGUGACGGUAAUGGGUAAAGAAGCACCGGCUAACUACGUG